GCCAGCAGCAUUCCACCCUGCAUCCCACUGCUGGCUUGCUUCUGAAGCUAAGCAGGGUUGGUCCUGGUCUUGGUCUGUCCCUGGAUGGGAGACCAGAUGCUGCUGGAA
rnacentral:rRNA from 1 species